ACAGAGGCGGCAAGCGUUGUUCGGAAUUAUUGGGCGUAAAGCGCAUGUAGGCGGCUAUGUAAGUCGGUUGUGAAAGCCUUCCGCUUAACGGAAGAAUGGCGGUCGAAACUGCAAGGCUUGAGUGUGGGAGAGGAGAGUGGAACUUCUGGUGUAGCGGUGAAAUGCGUAGAUAUCAGAAGGAACACCGAUGGCGAAGGCGGCUCUCUGGCCCGUAACUGACGCUGAGGUGCGAAAGCUAGGGGAGCAAACGG
rnacentral:rRNA from 1 species